UACGUAGGGCGCAAGCGUUAUCCGGAAUUAUUGGGCGUAAAGAGCUCGUAGGCGGUUUGUCGCGUCUGCCGUGAAAGUCCGGGGCUCAACUCCGGAUCUGCGGUGGGUACGGGCAGACUAGAGUGAUGUAGGGGAGACUGGAAUUCCUGGUGUAGCGGUGAAAUGUGUAGAGAUCGGGAGGAACACCGGUGGCGAAGGCGGGGCUCUGGGCCCACCCUGACGCUGAGGCGCGAAAGCGUGGGGAGCAAACGGG
rnacentral:rRNA from 1 species